rnacentral:rRNA from 1 species
AUUGAACGCUGGCGGCAGGCCUAACACAUGACAGUCGAGCGAGCGGCGGACGGGUGAGUAAUGUCUGGGAAACUGCCUGAUGGAGGGGGAUAACUACUGGCAACGGUAGCUAAUACCGCAUACCAUCAGAUUUGCCCAGCUGGGAUUAGCUGGUAGGUGGGGUAACGGCUAACCUAGGCGACGAUCCCUAGCUGGUCUGAGAGGAUGACCAGCCACACUGUAACUGAGACACGGUCCAGACUCCUACGGGAGGCAGCAGUGGGGAAUAUUGCACAAUGGGCGCAAGCCUGAUGCAGCCAUGCCGCGUGUGUGAAGAAGGCCUUCGGGUUGUAAAGCACUUGCAGCGGGGAGGCGUUACCCGCAGAAGAAGCACCGGCUAACUCCGUGCCAGCAGCCGCGGUAAUAC